rnacentral:rRNA from 1 species
CGGGAGGCAGCAGUAGGGAAUUUUCCGCAAUGGGCGAAAGCCUGACGGAGCAAUCUCGCGUGAGGGAUGACGGCCUAUGGGUUGUAAACCACUUUCAGGAGGGAAGAAAAUGACGGUACCUCCAUAAGAAGCCCCGGCCAACUACGUGCCAGCAGCCGCGGUAAUACGUAGGGGGCGAGCGUUGUCCGGAUUUAUUGGGCGUAAAGAGCUCGUAGGCGGUUCAACAAGUCGAUCGUGAAAGUUCAGGGCUCAACCCUGAAAUGUCGAUCGAUACUGUUGUGACUAGGAUACGGUAGAGGUGAGUGGAAUUCCGAGUGUAGCGGUGAAAUGCGUAGAUAUUCGGAGGAACACCAAUUGCGAAGGCAGCUCACUGGGCCGCUAUCGACGCUGAGGAGCGAAAGCUAGGGGAGCAAACAGGAUUAGAUACCCUGGUAGUCCUAGCUGUAAACGUUGGGCACUAGGUGUGGGUCUCAACCAACGAGAUCCGCGCCGUCGCUAACGCAUUAAGUGCCCCGCCUGGGGAGUACGGUCGCAAGGCUAAAACUCAAAGGAAUUG